rnacentral:rRNA from 1 species
CCCUUAGAUGUUCUGGGCUGCACGCGUGCUACAAUGGCGUUUCCAGCAAGUCUGCGAACCCGAGAGGGCCAGCGGAUCUUCGAAUUGGCGUCGUGAUCGGGACAGUCGAUUGCAAUUAUUUGACUCAAACGAGGAAUUCCUUGUAAUCGCGAUUCAUCAUAUCGCGCUGAAUACGUCCCUGCCCUUUGUACACACCGCCCGUCGCUCCUACCGAUUGAGCGAUCCGGUAAAUGUUUUGGAUUGGUGCCGGGGCGGCUAGCUGCCGGUCGCUACGAAAUUUUGUGAACCUUAACGCUUAGAGGAAGGAAAAGUCGUAACA